AGGGGUAAUAUCCAGGGGGUAGUUAUAUGGUGUCCUCUCUCUCCCCAGGGGUAAUUCCAGGGGUAGUUAUAUGGUGUCCUCUCUCCCCAGGGGUAAUAUCCAGGGGGUAGUUAUAUGGUGUCCUCUCUCUCCCCAGGGGUAAUAUCCAGGGGGUAGUUAUAUGGUGUCCUCUCUCCCCAGGGGUAAUUCCAGGGGUAGUUAUAUGGUGUCCUCUCUCCCCAGGGGUAAUUCCAGGGGUAGUUAUAUGGUGUCCUCUCUCUCUCAGGGGUAGUUUUCCAGUCUAUGAGUAAUUCCAGGGGUAGUUAGAUCAUAUCUACUUUCUCCAGGGGUAAUAUCCAGGGGGUAGUUAUAUGGUCUCCC